AGAUGAGAACCAGCUCCGUACCAAAGGCUACGACAAAACCCCGGACAUCAUUCUGGAGGUGCCUAUAGCUGUUGAUGGUCAUAUAGUUCACUGGAUUGAGAGCAAAGCUUCAUUUGGAGACGAGCACAGCCAUCACACGUACCUGAACGAGCAGUUCUGGAGCUACUGCAACAGGUUUGGUCCCGGUCUGGUCAUCUACUGGUACGGGUUCGUAUCUGAGCUGGACUGCCAGCGGGGCCGAGGGAUCCUGCUGAGAGACGGCUUCCCCUCGGACAUCGUAACCCUGAGCCGAGUCUGAUCCGUCACGGGGACGUUUGUUGCUGUGGAUGUCAGUCCGGAAGCAAUUUAGCUUUCCUGCAGCGUGAGACUCCUGGCAAACAUCUGCUGUGAACUCCGGCUGAACUCCAGCGGCUCGGGAGAGAAAACAGCGGCGCCUCAAAUCCUGCCGAGGCCGGUGACACGCGUCACUCUUAUCUUGCUCAGAGACGCCGAUGGAUGAGACGUUUGU